CAGAUAAGGGGGGAAUGCUGUAUUGAAGAAAGUUUGCUGAAAUGAUGAACUAUGAGUUCUUUUCUGGAGAAAGACAGAAGUGGAGAAACGAGAAGGCUAAAGGAUUUGGAAGAAAUGAGGACUUUGUAUUUAUUGUUGAAAAAAUGUUUAUUUUGGGUGGUGCCUGGGAGGCUCAGUUGGUUGAGCAUUCGACUUCUGCUCAGGUUAUGCUCUCACGGUUCGUGAGUUCAAGCUCUGUGUGGGGCUCUGUGCUGACAGUUCAGAGCCUGGAACUUGUUUCAGAUUCUGUGUCUCCCUCUCUCUCUGCCCCUCCCUCUCUUUCUCUCUCUCAAAUAAAUAAAUACUUUUUUAAAUGUUUAUUUAUUUGAGAGAGAGAGAAAGAGCAUGUGUGCAUGAGUGGGGAAGGGGCAGAGAGAGAGGGGGGGACAGAGGAUCCCAAGCAGGCUCUGUACUGAUGGCACAGAGCCCAACGUGGGGCUCAAACUCACAAACCAUGAGAUCAUGACCUGAGCCCAAGUGAGAUCAUGAUCUGAGCCAAAGCCAGAUGCUUGGCCAACUGAAUCACCCAAGCACCCCAUCAGAUGAAGAUCUCAAUAUCCUCAUAGAAAUAGUCACAGGGCAGGUAAGCCAAGAAGCUCUAUGGAAGGUUUUGCUGCGGAGGAGUUACAGAUCCAGAUGUGACUGGGAGUGUUCGGCUAAAGUGGUGAAGUGAAGGGGACAAAGAUCUAGGGUCCUGCAUGAGUCAUCCAUGUGGAGAAUGAGUCACACAAGGUGACCAAAGUGUUGGAGUGGAGGAAACAUUCUGAUAUGAAAAUUCACUGCACAUCGGGAAGGAUCAAAGAGGCAUGGAGAAGCAUAGUGGGUGGCUUUUAAAGGCCCUGGAAAGGUCAGCUGAGAGGAUCCUUUCUUUUAAGUAUGGCUACCUGGGCUUAGAAAGGGAGGAAGAGAGAGAAAACAGUGUGAGCUCCACCUUCCAGAGAAUCCUUACAUAAAAGGCCACGAGCGAUCCUGUGGUUUCUGAAGAAAAAAAUAUGGCUCACAUUUUCAAAAUCUAGAUUUUUCUGAGAUACAACAGGGGAUAACAGAAUGGCAAGAAUAUUGAAGAGAAUAUUAUCAUAAAUGUCCUGAAACUUUCAAA